AGUUGUUUUUCAGGAAGAAAGUGAGAGCGACAUUUCAGAGAAGAAAAUGGAGAGAGAAGAAGAAAAAGAAAGUGAGAGCGACAUUUCGGAGAGGGAAAUGGAGAGAGAAGAAAGAAAUUUUCAAGAGGAAAGUGAAAGCGUCAGGGCCAUACUUCAUCUGUCUUCGAUUAGAUACGGCUUUAGAAAACCUAGGGCUUGAGAAAGCAGCUUGUUUUCACAAUUGUGGCUGUAACUGAAAAUGAUGUGAAUCAUCUUCC